AGCGACCGCUUUUGGAGUUCGAUUAAGCCAUGCGAGUCGAGAGCUUUCGGAGCUCGGCAUACUGCUCAGUAACACGUGGAUAACCUGCCCUAUUGUCUGGAAUAACCUCGGGAAACUGAGAACAAUGCCGGAUAGCCCACAAUGCCUGGAACGGUUUGUGGGUGAAGAUAGGAUGGGUCUGCGGCGUAUCAGGUCGUAGGGGGUGUAAUGGACCUCCUAGCCAUCGACGCGUACGGGUGUUGGGAGACAUAGCCCGGAGAUGGAUUCUGAGACACGAAUCCAGACCCUACGGGGUGCAGCAGGCGCGAAAACUUCACACUGCAGGAAACUGUGAUGAGGGAACUCCAAGUGCUAUCACUAUGUGGUAGCUUUUCUUAACUAUUAAUCGGUUUUGGAAUAAGGGCUGGGAAAGACCGGUGCCAGCCGCCGCGGUAAUACCGGCAGCUCAAGUGGUCGUCGCUUUUAUUGGGCCUAAAACGUCCGUAGCCUGUUUGGUAAAUCUGUGGGUAAAUCAACCAGCUUAACUGGUUGAAUUCUGCAGAGACUGCCAGACUAGGGACCGGGAGAGGUGUGGGGUACUCUAGGGGUAGGGGUAAAAUCCUGUCAUCCUUAGAGGACCACCAGUUGCGAAGGCGCCACACUGGAACGGAUCCGACGGUCAGGGACGAAGCCUAGGGGCACGAACCGGAUUAGAUACCCGGGUAGUCCUAGGUGUAAACGCUGUGAACUUGGUGUCGGGGAUCCGUAAUGGGUUCUCGGUGCCGGAGUGAAGAUGUUAAGUUCACUGCCUGGGGAGUACGGUCGCAAGGCUGAAACUUAAAGGAAUUGGCGGGGGAGCACUGCAACGGGAGGAGCGUGCGGUUU
rnacentral:rRNA from 1 species